UGGGACAGUCACCUCAGUGUAUCUCAGUGUAUAAAUGAGGGCCAAAUGAGGUCGCUCAGAUCUGUGAGAGUGCACUAACCAAGGCGACUCGUCAUGCUCCCUCCCUGGUGUUUCGGCACGCUUCUCUUGAGCGCUGUUCUCGGGUCUCCACUGCGCACCAAUGUCACGUUGGAAAGCACAAGUGAACCCAACUCCACUUCCUAUCCUGAUGACCUAGAAAACAACAAAACUGCAAGAGACUUCAAUCAGACCCAGGACAUGGUUAUGCUUUUGUGAGUGUUCUGUGCAAUGUGAAUCAUUUCAGUAAGGAAUAUUGUAGAGUGUUAAGCACUUAAGAUGUUUAAUUACAGAAGAGG